rnacentral:rRNA from 1 species
GGAUGAAGUGGUCUCGUAUGCAGUCGUACAGGUAGCCGUAUAAAAAUUGUUCUCUGAAAAAAAAUGGCGGAGGAAGAGUAACACGUGGGUAACCUGCCCAUAAGAGGGGGAUAACAACCGGAAACGGGUGCUAAUACCGCAUAGUUUUCUUGAUCGCAUGAUUGAGAAAGGAAAGACGGCCUUUGUGCUGUCGCUUAUGGAUGGACCCGCGGCGUAUUAGUUAGUUGGUGAGGUAAUGGCUCUCCACGACGAUGAUACCCAACCGACCUGAGAGGGGGAUCGGCCACAUUGGCACUGACACUCGGCCCAAACG